rnacentral:misc_RNA from 1 species
UCCGGUUCAUCACCGGCAGUCUCCUUAGAGUCCCCAACUAAAUGAUGGCAACUAAGGAUAAGGGUUGCGCUCGUUACGGGACUUAACCCAACAUCUCACAACACGAGCUGACGACAGCCAUGCAGCACCUGUCUCUAAGUUCCUUUCGGCACAAAAGCCUCUCAGCCUUCUUCUUAGGAUGUCAAGAGUAGGUAAGGUUCUUCGCGUUGCAUCGAAUUAAACCACAUGCUCCACCGCUUGUGCGGGCCCCCGUCAAUUCCUUUGAGUUUCAACCUUGCGGCCGUACUUCCCAGGCGGAAGACUUAUCGCGUUUGCUUCAAUACUGAUGGGUUCCCCCACCAACAUUUAGUCCUCAUCGUUUACAGCGUGGACUAC